rnacentral:lncRNA from 1 species
GGUAAACCAUAUCUGGCAGCUGAAAAUCGCAACUUCUUGUGCUCAAUUUUUUGUUAGUUACCUCCACGUUUUAUCAACCUAUCUAUAUCUCUUCUGCAAGGCACAUGGAUGUGAUCUUUUGCAUCCAGAAAACCAUUCUAGCUCUUGGAAAGAGUCUCCAGACUCCAAUAGGGAGUAACCUGUUGUAUUACUUGCUACCCAACGGAUUUUGCUCUCGAGAACAUACUUUUGGUCAUUUGAAACAUAGAAUAAUACUCUAAGUUACUAAUCAACUUAGCCCCAUUCCCACUCUUGGUGUUGAAAGAUGUGAGGAUAUAUUCUUUUAUCAGAUUUCAUUUGCUUCACUUAACCGGGAAUGUGAAGCUAAAAUUAACAAAGAAAAAAUUUGUUAAGGUAUUCAAGGAAAAAUUAAUAAAGAAAAAAAUUGUUAAGGUGAAGAGAUCCCUUCUCUAGAGCACCUCACGAGUUACUGAAUCAUGUUGGUAGCCCCCGGUAUUGCAUCUAAUCUAAGUAUCUUUUACCAACGCAUAUCAUGUAAAGUGGUUGUGGCUGCACAUUCCCUUCUAUGGUAGUUAACCUGUUACCUUCUUAGUUUUCACUUCAGCCAUUCCUGCAAUUCAUAAUGGAAAAGGUUAUUUAGCUUACCUCAAACUUUUGGUUUUACUCCACAUAUAAGCUAUGCCAUUAGUUGCCAUGAAUAAAAAAUAUGCUGUUAACCAUCUCCCUUGUUUGUCUUGAAAUAAUGUUCCCUAAUGGAAGCCUUGUCGGUCUCUCUACAGUUAUCAUGUCAAACUAUUAUGACUUGCCUUUUAAUGAUGUCCUGGAUUGGAGGAAAUUCUCUGUUAUACUGAAGGAGACUGACGUCUAUCUGCUCAAAGAUAUUCUCAGAAGCAUAUCUGAGAAACAUUUCAUGAUAUUGAAUCAGAACUUAGUAAAGGUACUAUGAAUAUAAAGUUCAGUUUAUCAACUUAUAAAUAUUAUGCUAUUUGAUGAGAAAUUGUGAGGGUAGGAUAGUAGUAAAAGAACUGAUGUUGCUUAUCGUAGUAUAAGAAGUUGGAAGUUUGACAUCUACUUACUUUUCAGUUAUAUCAUCCUUCCAUAUUUCUAAAUCAAAGAAAGGAAAUGAAACAUUCAGUAUUUCUCUUCAGGAGAUGAUAACUUCUAUUUUUCCUAUCUCUCUCUCUUUUAAUUCGCUGCUUUUGUUGUUCAG